rnacentral:rRNA from 1 species
AUCCAAGGAAGGCAGCAGGCGCGCAAAUUACCCACUCCCGGAACGGGGAGGUAGUGACGAAAAAUAACAAUACGGGACUCUUUUGAGACCCCGUAAUUGGAAUGAGUACACUCUAAAUCCUUUAACGAGGACCCAUUGGAGGGCAAGUCUGGUGCCAGCAGCUGCGGUAAUUCCAGCUCCAAUAGCGUAUAUUAAAGUUGUUGCGGUUAAAAAGCUCGUAGUUGGAUCUCAGCUCGAGACGGAUGGUCCGCCUACCGGUGGUUACUGUCUGUUCUCAGCAUUCAGCCGGUUUCUCUUGAUGAUCUUCACCGGUUGUCUUGGGUGACCGGCAAGUUUACUUUGAAAAAAUUAGAGUGCUCAAAGCAGGCGUGAAAGCCUGAAUAAUGGUGCAUGGAAUAAUGGAAUAGGACCUCGGUUCUAUUUUGUUGGUUUUCGGAACACGAGGUAAUGAUUAAGAGGGACAGACGGGGGCAUUCGUAUUGCGACGCUAGAGGUGAAAUUCUUGGACCGUCGCAAGACGAACUACUGCGAAAGCAUUUGCCAAGAAUGUUUCCAUUAAUCAAGAACGAAAGUUAGAGGUUCGAAGGCGAUCAGAUACCGCCCUAGUUCUAACCAUAAACGAUGCCAGCCAGCGAUCCGGCUGUGUUCCUCAAAUGACACGCCGGGCAGCUUCCGGGAAACCAAAGCUUUUGGGUUCCGGGGGAAGUAUGGUUGCAAAGCUGAAACUUAAAGGAAUUGACGGAAGGGCACCACCAGAAAUGGAGCCUGCGGCUUAAUUUGACUCAACACGGGAAAACUUACCCGACCCGGACACAGGCAGGAUUGACAGAUUAAGAGCUCUUUCUUGAUUCUGUGGGAGGUGGUGCAUGGCCGCUCUUAGUUGGUGGAGCGAUUUGUCUGGUUUAUUCCGAUAACGAACGAGACCCUAGCUUACUAAAUAGACGUUCCGAUUCUUCUCAGUCGGACGCUCUUCUUAGAGGGAUAAGUGGCGUUUAGCCGCACGAGACAGGGCAAUAGCAGGUCAGUGAUGCCCUUAGAUGUCCGGGGCCGCACGCGCGCUACAUUGAAGGAAUCAGCGUGUGCUUUCCCUGUCCGACAGGACUGGGUAACCCGUUGAACCUCCUUCGUGCUGGGGAUAGGAGCUUGUAAUUGUUCUCCUUGAACGAGGAAUGCCUAGUAAGCGCGAGUCAUAAGCUCGUGCUGAUUAUGUCCCUGCCCUUUGUCCACACCGCCCGUCGCCACUACCGAUUGAAUGAUUUAGUGAGGGCAUCGGACUGGCGCUCGGAUUGGCUUUCGUCGAGCCGCGUGCCGGAAAGAUGUCCAAACUUGACCAUUUAGAGGAAGUGAA